UACGGGGGGAGCAAGCGUUGUUCGGAUUUACUGGGCGUAAAGGGCGCGUAGGCGGCCUUGUCAGUCAGACGUGAAAUCCCCAGGCUUAACUUGGGAACUGCGUCUGAUACUACAAGGCUGGAGUUCGGGAGAGGGAUGUGGAAUUCCAGGUGUAGCGGUGAAAUGCGUAGAGAUGUGGAGGAACACCGAUGGCGAAGGCAGCCUUCUGGGCCAACACUGACGCUCAU
rnacentral:rRNA from 1 species